UUUCCAGACUCCUACGGGAGGCAGCAGUGGGGGAUAUUGCACAAUGGGGGGAACCCUGAUGCAGCGACGCCGCGUGGGUGAAGGAGUGCUUCGGCCUGUAAAGCCCUAUCGGCAGGGAAGAAGCAAGACGGUACCUGACUAAGAAGCCCCGGCUAACUACGUGCCAGCAGCCGCGGUAAUACGUAGGGGACAAGCGUUAUCCGGAUUUACUGGGUGUAAAGGGAGCGUAGACGGCAUGGCAAGUCAGAUGUGAAAGCCCGGGGCUCAACCCCGGGACUGCACUUGAAACUGUCAGGCUGGAGUGCAGGAGAGGUAAGUGGAAUUCCUAGUGUAGCGGUGAAAUGCGUAGAUAUUAGGAGGAACACCAGUGGCGAAGGCGGCUUACUGGACUGUAACUGACGUUGAGGCUCGAAAGCGUGGGGAGCAAACAGGAUUAGAUACCCGCGUAGA
rnacentral:rRNA from 1 species